AUUUUUUUUGAGAGUUUGAUCCUGGCUCAGGAUGAACGCUGGCGGCGUGCCUUAAGCAUGCAAGUCGAACGGAGAU
rnacentral:rRNA from 1 species